GAUGAACGCUGGCGGCGUGCCUAAUACAUGCAAGUCGAGCGAACAGACGAGGAGCUUGCUCCUCUUACGGUAGCGGCGGACGGGUGAGGAACACGUGGCUAACCUACCUAUAGGACUGGACUAACUUCGGAGAACGGGAGCCUAUACCGAAUAAUAUAUUGAACCGCAGGGUGCAAUAGUGAGUGGCGGUUUUUCUUUCACUUGUAGAGGAUUCCGCGCCGCAUUAUCUGGUUGGUAAGGUAACGGCUUACUAAGGCCACGAUGGGUAGCCGACGUGAGAGGGUGAUCGGCCACACUGGAACUGAGACACGGUCCAGACUCCUACGGGAGGCAGCAGUAGGGAAUCUUCCGCAAUGGGCGAGAGCCUGACGGAGCAGCACCGCGGGAGUGAUGAAGGUCUUCGGAUCGUAAAACUCUGUUAUUAGGGAAGACCAAAUGGGUAAGUAACUAUGCACGUCUUGACGGUACCUAAUGAGAAAGCCACGGCUAACUACGUG
rnacentral:rRNA from 1 species